rnacentral:rRNA from 1 species
GAUGAACGCUGGCGGCGUGCUUAACACAUGCAAGUCGAGCGAACGGACGAGAAGUUUGCUUCUUUGAUGUUAGCGGCGGACGGGUGUGUAACACGUGGAUAACCUACCUAUCUGACUGGGAUAACUUCGGGAAACCGGAGCUAACACCGGAUGAUAUUUUGAACCGCAUGGUUCAAAAGUGAAAGACGGUCUUGCUGUCACUUAUAGAUGGAUCCGCGCUGCAUUAGCUAGUUGGUGAGGUAACGGCGUACCAAGGCAACGAUGCAUAGCCGACCUGAGAGGGGGAUCGGCCACACGAGAGCGGAGACACGGACCAGGCUCCUGCGAGAGGCAACAGUAGGGAAUCUUCCGCAAUGGGCGAAAGCCUGACAGAGCGACGCCGCGUGAGUGAUGGAGGUCUUCGGAUCGUAAAACUCUGUUAUGAGGGAAGAACAUAUGUGUAAGGAACUGUGCACAUCUUGACGGUACCUAAACAGAAAGCCACGGCUAACUACGUG